rnacentral:rRNA from 1 species
AUUGAACGCUGGCGGCAGGCCUAACACAUGCAAGUCGAGCGGUAGAGAGAAGCUUGCUUCUCUUGAGAGCGGCGGACGGGUGAGUAAUGCCUAGGAAUCUGCCUGGUAGUGGGGGAUAACGUUCGGAAACGGACGCUAAUACCGCAUACGUCCUACGGGAGAAAGCAGGGGACCUUCGGGCCUUGCGCUAUCAGAUGAGCCUAGGUCGGAUUAGCUAGUUGGUGAGGUAAUGGCUCACCAAGGCGACGAUCCGUAACUGGUCUGAGAGGAUGAUCAGUCACACUGGAACUGAGACACGGUCCAGACUCCUACGGGAGGCAGCAGUGGGGAAUAUUGGACAAUGGGCGAAAGCCUGAUCCAGCCAUGCCGCGUGUGUGAAGAAGGUCUUCGGAUUGUAAAGCACUUUAAGUUGGGAGGAAGGGCAGUAAAUUAAUACUUUGCUGUUUUGACGUUACCGACAGAAUAAGCACCGGCUAACUCU